rnacentral:tmRNA from 1 species
GGGGCUGUAUUGGUUUCGACAUUUAAAAUUACACUAAUUGCUAAGCAGAAUUAAGUCUUAGAAUAUAAAGUAAUUGCAAAUAAUAUUAUUAAUUUUAAAAAAAACCAAGUUUUUGCAUAAAAUUCUUCGGUUUUAACAUCAAUUAAUUAUCUAAUUGUUAAUUGAAGUCGGUAAAAAAUUCUUUUUUCCCUAGAAUUUUUGAAAAUUUAGUUUUGGUCAUAUUAAUAGCCAUAGAAUAUAAAUUUCUAUAGUAUAAAUAAUAAAUAUAAACUAAUCUAGCUUUUGUUGUUAAUAAAAGAUUAAUAACUAAAUCUGUGAGUAAAGUGAUUAGUUUGAUGAUUUUUUAAAUGGACGUGGGUUCAAAUCCCACCAGCUCCUC